rnacentral:rRNA from 1 species
UACAGAGGGUGCAAGCGUUGUUCGGAAUUAUUGGGCGUAAAGCGCGUGUAGGCGGCCAGGCAAGUUGGGUGUGAAAGCCCUCGGCUUAACCGAGGAAGUGCGCCCAAAACUACUUGGCUUGAGUACCGGAGAGGAUGGUGGAAUUCCCGGUGUAGAGGUGAAAUUCGUAGAUAUCGGGAGGAACACCAGCGGCGAAGGCGACCAUCUGGACGGAUACUGACGCUGAGACGCGAAAGCGUGGGGAGCGAACAGG